GUUCUGGAUUUUUGCCACAUGGAAGAUCUUGCCUAGUGUUCAGAUUGAAUUGCACUAAGGUGUGGUAAAAAUGUAAAUGAAAGCUGUACAGACAGCCAUGGGAAUCACUUGUGAACCCUGCUACUAAACAAAUUGAAUUUCAAAAGCUGAAUUCCAAAUUCAUCUCUGAGACAAGUCUUCUCAAUCUACCAAAAAUGCCUCAUAUAUGUUGCACUGAUGAGACUUGCCACUCAGAAGCUGUGAGAGAAGAUCCUCUUGGAGCACAGGUAGCUUGUGACAUUAAAACACUGCAUAAUGGACAUCAAAGUGCUGUCAGAAGAAUCUUCUGUCCAGUGGGAAUGUUGGCACCAGAGAAAGGGUACCUGUGAUAAUAUAUAAUUUUAAUUGGACUGUGUCAUGACAGGCUGACCAGAUGCCAAUAAAAAAGCCUAU